GACGUAGGGCGCGAGCGUUUGUCCGGAUUUAUUGGGCGUAAAGAGCUCGUAGGCGGCUUGUCGCGUCGUCCGUGAAAACCUGCAGCUCAACUGCAGGCUUGCGGUCGAUACGGGCAGGCUAGAGUUCGGUAGGGGAGACUGGAAUUCCUGGUGUAGCGGUGAAAUGCGCAGAUAUCAGGAGGAACACCGGUGGCGAAGGCGGUUCUCUGGGCCUGUACUGACGCUGAGGAGCGAAAGCGUGGGGAGCGAACAGG
rnacentral:rRNA from 1 species